UGAGGAAUAUUGGUCAAUGGGCGCAAGCCUGAACCAGCCAUCCCGCGUGCAGGAAGACGGCGCUAUGCGUUGUAAACUGCUUUUCCAGGGGGAGAAACUUGCGUACGUGAUACGCAAUUGACGGUACCCUGGGAAUAAGCAUCGGCUAACUCCGUGCCAGCAGCCGCGGUAAUACGGAGGAUGCAAGCGUUAUCCGGAUUCAUUGGGUUUAAAGGGUGCGUAGGCGGACUAUUAAGUCAGUGGUGAAAUCCUGCAGCUUAACUGCAGAACUGCCAUUGAUACUGAUAGCCUUGAGUUUGGUUAAGGUAGGCGGAAUGCGUAAUGUAGCGGUGAAAUGCUUAGAUAUUACACAGAACACCAAUUGCGUAGGCAGCUUACUGAGCCGACACUGACGCUGAGGCACGAAAGCGUGGGGAUCGAACAG
rnacentral:rRNA from 1 species